UGAAAAUGCCAUCAAACUUCCGAUUCAAGUGUCAUUUUGGUUGUAAAAACGAUGAUAUUCAAGACAAAGGAGACAUUUACAUUUAUAACCAAAUUCGAAUAUGCUAUCGCCACUUUGAAGAAUGUUAUUGUUCACAAAGCUACAGACUCACAGCUAAUGCAGUUCCAACACUAAAUAUUGGUUCAUCUCAGCUGCAACCCAUGGAAACUGAUGCUAUUGAACAUGUG